GACGAACGCUGGCGGCGUGCUUAACACAUGCCAGUCGAACGGAAAGGCCUGCUUUCCCUUGUGGAUUGCGGGUACUCGAGUGGCGAACGGGUGAGUAACACGUGAGUGAUCUGCCCCCAACUUGGGUAUAAGCCUGGGAAACUGGGUCUAAUUCCCGAUAGGACUGCAGGGUGGUGCCUGUGGUGGAAAACGAUUUUCUAGUGGUUGGGGAUGAGCUCGCGGCCUAUCAGCUUGUUGGUGGGGUAAUGGCCUACCAAGGCGGCGACGGGUAGCCGGCCUGAGAGGGUGGACGGCCACAGUGGGACUGAGAUACGGCCCAGACGCCUACGGGAGGCAGCAGUGGGGAAUAAUGCACAAUGGGCGGAAGCCUGAUGCAGCGACGCCGCGUGGGGGAUGACGGCCUUCGGGUGGUAAACUCCUUGCGACCGCGAGGAAGCCACCUGGUUGGAAGGGUGGUGACGGUAGUGGUAGAAGAAGCACCGGCUAACUACGUG
rnacentral:rRNA from 1 species